rnacentral:rRNA from 1 species
GACGAACGCUGGCGGCGUGCCUAAUACAUGCAAGUCGAACGCAGUUGCGAACGGGUGAGUAACGCGUAGGGAACUGCCUCAUAGCGGGGGAUAACUAUUGGAAACGAUAGCUAAUACCGCAUACUGUGAGUUGGACCUGCGGUGUAUUAGCUAGUUGGUGAGGUAAAGGCUUAGCAAGGCGACGAUACAUAGCCGACCUGGGAGGGUGGUCCGCCACACCGGGACUUGGACACGGCCCAGACCCCUACGGGAAGGAGCAGGAGGGAAAUCUCGGCCAUGGGCGGAAGUCUGGCCGAGGCAAGGCGCGGGAGUGGAGGAGGGUUUCGGAUCGGAAAGCUCUGUUGUUAGAGAAGCGGUAACUAACCAGAAAGGGACGGCUAACUACGUGCCAGCAGCCGCGGUAAUAC